rnacentral:rRNA from 1 species
AUUGAACGCUGGCGGCAUGCCUUACACAUGCAAGUCGAACGGUAACAGGUCUUCGGAUGCUGACGAGUGGCGAACGGGUGAGUAAUACAUCGGAACGUGCCUAGUAGUGGGGGAUAACUACUCGAAAGAGUGGCUAAUACCGCAUGAGAUCUACGGAUGAAAGCAGGGGAUCGCAAGACCUUGUGCUACUAGAGCGGCCGAUGGCAGAUUAGGUAGUUGGUGGGAUAAAAGCCUACCAAGCCGACGAUCUGUAGCUGGUCUGAGAGGACGAUCAGCCACACUCGGACUGAGAAACGGCCCAGACUCCUACGGGAGGCAGCAGUGGGGAAUAUUGGACAAGGGGCGCAAGCCUGAUCCAGCAAUGCCGCGUGCAGGAUGAAGGCCUUCGGGUUGUAAACUGCUUUUGUACGGAACGAAAAGCCCCGGGUUAAUACCCUGGGGUCAUGACGGUACCGUAAGAAUAAGCACCGGCGAACUACGUGCCAGCAGCCGCGGUAA